rnacentral:rRNA from 1 species
UACGUAGGGGGCAAGCGUUGUCCGGAUUUAUUGGGCGUAAAGAGCGUGUAGGCGGCUUGGUAGGUCUUGCGUCAAAACCUGAGGCUCAACCUCAGUUCGCGUGGGAAACCACCUAGCUAGAGUCCGGAAGAGGAGAACGGAAUUCCCAGUGUAGCGGUGAAAUGCGCAGAUAUUGGGAAGAACACCAGUGGCGAAGGCGGUUCUCUGGACAGUUCCUGACACUGAGGCACGAAGGCCAGGGGAGCAAACGGG